GACGAACGCUGGCGGCGUGCUUAACACAUGCAAGUCGAACGGAAAGGCCCUGCUUUUGUGGGGUGCUCGAGUGGCGAACGGGUGAGUAACACGUGAGUAACCUGCCCUUGACUUUGGGAUAACUUCAGGAAACUGGGGCUAAUACCGGAUAGGAGCUCCUGCUGCAUGGUGGGGGUUGGAAAGUUUCGGCGGUUGGGGAUGGACUCGCGGCUUAUCAGCUUGUUGGUGGGGUAGUGGCUUACCAAGGCUUUGACGGGUAGCCGGCCUGAGAGGGUGACCGGCCACAUUGGGACUGAGAUACGGCCCAGACUCCUACGGGAGGCAGCAGUGGGGAAUAUUGCACAAUGGGCGGAAGCCUGAUGCAGCAACGCCGCGUGCGGGAUGACGGGCUUCGGGUUGUAAACCGAUUUCGCCUGUGACGAAGCGUGAGUGACGGUACUGGGUAAAGAAGCACCGGCUAACUACGUG
rnacentral:rRNA from 1 species